UGGGGAAUAUUGCACAAUGGGCGCAAGCCUGAUGCAGCCAUGCCGCGUGUAUGAAGAAGGCCUUCGGGUUGUAAAGUACUUUCAGUCGGGAGGAAGGUGGUAAGGUUAAUAACCUUAUCAAUUGACGUUACCGACAGAAGAAGCACCGGCUAACUCCGUGCCAGCAGCCGCGGUAAUACGGAGGGUGCAAGCGUUAAUCGGAAUUACUGGGCGUAAAGCGCACGCAGGCGGUUGAUUGAGUCAGAUGUGAAAUCCCCGGGCUUAACCCGGGAAAUGCAUCUGAUACUGGUCAGCUAGAGUCUUGUAGAGGGGGGUAGAAUUCCAUGUGUAGCGGUGAAAUGCGUAGAGAUGUGGAGGAAUACCGGUGGCGAAGGCGGCCCCCUGGACAAAGACUGAAGCUCAGGUGCGAAAGCGUGGGGAGCAAACAGG
rnacentral:rRNA from 1 species